AAAAAAAAAAAAAAAAGCAAAAUGAAAGAAAAAGAAAACCUAAUGCUUCAGCCAUUGAAUAACCACUUGUUCGUUCAAUUUCUCUUAUUGUCACAAGCCCUAACAAUGGAAACACUAGCAGCACCAAUCGAGUCCAUCUAGUGCUUAGCCGCAAGAAGACCGUCAUAUUCAUCAACUACUACAAGAGUGAGAGAGGCCUAAGCAGAUCAAUGGCUGCCAUAUCGAGCUGGUGGAGCCUGAGAUCCUGCAUUUUAAGGACUACGAGCCCAUGCUUCUCCUCGGACGACACCCUUUUGCAGGCGUCAACAUGCAUAUCAAGGGUGGUGUGCAUACCUCUCAGAUCUAUGCCAUCCACCAGAGCAUUGGCAAAGCUCUUGAGGAAGUGAUGGAGCAGAUCUAGAGCAGAUGGGUUUUGAUGCAUCUGGCCCUGAGAUCAUUAAAGAGCAAGAUAAGAUAAGGAAAAGGAUUUAAGAUGCGAGAUCUCUACUAAAAUUUCCAGGAAAUCUUUGUUAUUGUGAAGACAAAGACCAUAGUU
rnacentral:misc_RNA from 1 species